AUUGAACGCUGGCGGCAUGCUUUACACAUGCAAGUCGAACGGCAGCGCGGGCUUCGGCCUGGCGGCGAGUGGCGAACGGGUGAGUAAUACAUCGGAACGUGCCCAGCAGUGGGGGAUAGCUCGGCGAAAGCCGGAUUAAUACCGCAUACGACCUGAGGGUGAAAGCGGGGGAUCUUCGGACCUCGCGCUCUUGGAGUGGCCGAUGGCAGAUUAGCUAGUUGGUGGGGUAAAGGCCUACCAAGGCGACGAUCUGUAGCUGGUCUGAGAGGACGACCAGCCACACUGGGACUGAGACACGGCCCAGACUCCUACGGGAGGCAGCAGUGGGGAAUUUUGGACAAUGGGCGAAAGCCUGAUCCAGCAAUGCCGCGUGUGUGAUGAAGGCCUUCGGGUUGUAAAGCACUUUUGGCGGGAACGAAAAGGACUGUGCCAAUACCACGGUUCGAUGACGGUACCCGCAGAAUAAGCACCGGCUAACUACGUG
rnacentral:rRNA from 1 species